rnacentral:rRNA from 1 species
UACGUAGGUGACAAGCGUUGUCCGGAUUUACUGGGCGUAAAGAGCGCGCAGGCGGUCGAUCAAGUCGAGUGUGAAAGCCCCCGGCUCAACUGGGGAGGGUCAUUCGAUACUGAUCGACUCGAAGGCAGGAGAGGGUAGUGGAAUUCCCGGUGUAGUGGUGAAAUGCGUAGAUAUCGGGAGGAACACCAGUGGCGAAGGCGGCUUUCUGGACAGUAA